rnacentral:rRNA from 1 species
AUUGAACGCUGGCGGCAUGCCUUACACAUGCAAGUCGAACGGCAGCGCGGGGCAACCUGGCGGCGAGUGGCGAACGGGUGAGUAAUAUAUCGGAACAUACCCUAGAGUGGGGAUAACGUAGCGAAAGUUACGCUAAUACCGCAUACGCACUAAGGUGGAAAGUGGGGGAUCUUCGGACCUCAUGCUCAUGGAGUGGCCGAUAUCUGAUUAGCUAGUUGGUGAGGUAAAGGCUCACCAAGGCGACGAUCAGUAGCUGGUUUGAGAGAACGACCAGCCACACUGGAACUGAGACACGGUCCAGACUCCUACGGGAGGCAGCAGUGGGGAAUUUUGGACAAUGGGGGCAACCCUGAUCCAGCAAUGCCGCGUGAGUGAAGAAGGCCUUGGUUGUAACUAGCUUUUGUCCGGGGAGUAAAGAUACCAUGCGUGGAGAAUUGAAGUA